AAGUGCAGAGCUAGGCUUUUCCUCCCAAGGAAGCGCACCUCCCAACAAUAGUGAAGGGACCACGCAAAGAUUUUGAUGACCCGCCUGGUGUCUUUAGAGCUAGGUCCCAAAAUCUCAGUGUGCCCCGGAAGACGCGGCCUCAGCGAUAACGGGGCUUCCGGGAACAACGUCAUCCUGUUGCCGCUGCUGAGUUGUCGCUUCGCGCCAGCACAGGGCUGAAGGCACAGUCCGCUACACGGCCAAGCCCGUGCUGGGAGGAGGGCACUCCUCGGGGCUGAAGUCCAGGGAACACCGCCACGCUGCUUAGCCUGGGUCCCAGGGGCUGCAGGAAGGUGGACCUGAGACCGGCAGCAUGAAAUCUAGAGCGGGGGCGGGGAGGGGGAAGAAGGUUGGGAUUGAUCAGUAAAGGAAAAUCCAAACCCAGGCCAGAACUUCAGCCCCGAAUAUCUCACCGGGGCUUUAAGAGCAGCCCCGACAUCACCCCCACCCCACCCCCAGCCAGCCAGCCAGACGCCCCGAUCGAGUCACUGGCUCCAGAAAGGGCAGUCAACGGCUCCGGUUUCCCAAGAGAACACUCUGCCAUCUGUGGGAUGCCCCCCACCCCGUGUGUGGCUGUGAGUUGGAUUUUCACCCCGGUUAUUCGGAGAAUCCUCCUAGAGCGCGGUCCAGUCUCAGCUGGGGAUUCCAAUCAGAAGUUUGAGCUAUCAGACAGAUGUUAGAAGCAGAGUGCCUCUGAGGCUUGUGCUAGAAGGAGAGAGCUCCCCAUCCCCCCCUACCCCCCAUCUCCUGGGCCCAGGCCUCUCCAAGCAAGAGACAUUUGGACAGAGACACCAGUGACAAGGAGCAGCCUACGUCCUCCAGACACAGGAAGCGCAAGAGCCCUGAGGCAGGAUGGAGAGUUGUGUGCUCAAAGCACAGAAGGGAGAUCGUGUGGCUAAAGCGCAGUAAGGGCAAGAAAGAGAGAGGACCGGACUCUGAGUCUGUGCACGGGACCGUUAUGAAGGCUGGGGGCUUGGCCUGCAGACAGCCCCCCACCGCCACGUACAGGAAGCAGAAUGAGCAGAAGGCCUCACGUCCUGGGGUACUGCAAAAGUCAGCUCCAUCAAGGAGGUCCUGGGAGCACAGUGCAAAUCAGAGCAUCCCAGACUGAGCCACCCUGAAGAGCCACUAAACUUUGUGAACAGCAUCCAAGGCAGCAAGGCCAGGAGGAGGCAUCGGUGAGGAAAAGAGGGCCUCGUCCAUCCUCAGGCUUAGCUCCAGCCCUCUGCUCACUUCCCUCAUGGCAACAAAACUCAAGAUUCUGAACAACAUCCACCUGCCCUCCCCCGCCCCAGCCAGGCCUGCCCCCUCUCCGAGAAGGCGUGUUUUCAUUGAGACCAUCUCCGAUGGAGCCAAACAACUCACACCGAGCACGACCAACGAUCAAAGUGGGGGGUGGCUUAGACCCACAUGACCAGAAUUGGCUAGCAUGAUGUGUCCAGUGGAGAGUUUUGCUAAAAGAGGCCCACAGUGGCGCCACAGACAGACCCUUAGCUACGGCCAGGCUCACGGGCACCAUGGUACGACAGAAAUAAAACUAAAUUAUAUCACUUGUCAUCAUUAAGAAAAAUUUUCAUCUCUGUUCUUCAUUUGAAAAGCACUAUAUUUAAUGAAUGAGUACUGAGUCAUGACACGUAAAUGACUAAAAUAUAGGAAUUAUACUGAGGUCAACUAACGUAAUUUUAAACCAUGAAAUUAAGGGACCUAUUCGUGGCUGUCGAUGGUGCCACUCCCAGUCAUUAUCAUGCUCUGCAAGGCUGCUGUGAGCACUGGGAAGGGUGGACAGUUCCACAAGAGGCAGACCCAAGUUUCCAGGCAA